AGAGUUUGAUCAUGGCUCAGGAUGAACGCUGGCGGCGUGCUUAACACAUGCAAGUCGAACGAAGCAUUUAAGACAGAUUACUUCGGCUUGAAGUCUUUUAUGACUGAGUGGCGGACGGGUGAGUAACGCGUGGGUAACCUGCCUCAUACAGGGGGAUAGCAGCUGGAAACGGCUGGUAAUACCGCAUAAGCGCACAGUACCACAUGGUACAGUGUGAAAAACUCCGGUGGUAUGAGAUGGACCCGCGUCUGAUUAGCUGGUUGGCGGGGUAACGGCCCACCAAGGCGACGAUCAGUAGCCGACCUGAGAGGGUGACCGGCCACAUUGGGACUGAGACACGGCCCAGACUCCUACGGGAGGCAGCAGUGGGGAAUAUUGCACAAUGGAGGAAACUCUGAUGCAGCGACGCCGCGUGAGUGAAGAAGUAGUUCGCUAUGUAAAGCUCUAUCAGCAGGGAAGAUAGUGACGGUACCUGACUAAGAAGCUCCGGCUAAAUACGUGCCAGCAGCCGCGGUAAUACGUAUGGAGCAAGCGUUAUCCGGAUUUACUGGGUGUAAAGGGAGUGUAGGUGGCCAGGCAAGUCAGAAGUGAAAGCCCGGGGCUCAACCCCGGGACUGCUUUUGAAACUGCAGGGCUAGAGUGCAGGAGGGGCAAGUGGAAUUCCUAGUGUAGCGGUGAAAUGCGUAGAUAUUAGGAGGAACACCAGUGGCGAAGGCGGCUUGCUGGACUGUAACUGACACUGAGGCUCGAAAGCGUGGGGAGCAAACAGGAUUAGAUACCCUGGUAGUCCACGCCGUAAACGAUGAUGGCUAACCGCCGGCGACACACUGUCGGUGGCCAAGCGAAAGCGAUAAGCCAUUCACCUGGGGAGUACGUCGGCAACGAUGAAACUCAAAGGAAUUGACGGGGGCCCGCACAAGCGGAGGAGCAUGUGGUUUAAUUCGAUGAUACGCGAGGAACCUUACCCGGGCUCGAACGGCACCUGGAUCACCCAGAGAUGGGCGAGUCUUCGGACAGGUGUCGAGGUGCUGCAUGGUUGUCGUCAGCUCGUGCCGUGAGGUGUCGGCUCAAGUGCCAUAACGAGCGCAACCCUUGCCGCCAGUUGCCAUCAGGUGAUGCUGGGCACUCUGGCGGGACUGCCACCGCAAGGUGUGAGGAGGGGGGGGAUGACGUCAAAUCAGCACGGCCCUUACGUCCGGGGCGACACACGUGUUACAAUGGCGGCCACAGAGGGAAGCUACCCCGCGAGGGGAUGCGGAUCUCGAAAAGCCGUCCCAGUUCGGACUGGAGUCUGCAACCCGACUCCACGAAGUUGGAUUCGCUAGUAAUCGCGCAUCAGCCAUGGCGCGGUGAAUACGUUCCCGGGCCUUGUACACACCGCCCGUCAAGCCAUGGAAGCCGCGGGCGCCUGAAGUCCGUGACCGGAAGGAGCGGCCUAGGGCGAAAGUGGUAACUGGGGCUAAGUCGUAACAAGGUA
rnacentral:rRNA from 1 species